AACGAACGCUGGCGGCAGGCCUAACACAUGCAAGUCGAACGCUGUAGCAAUACAGAGUGGCAGACGGGUGAGUAACGCGUGGGAACCUUCCCAGUGGUGCGGAAUAGCUCAGGGAAACUUGAGGUAAUACCGCAUAAGCCCCUAGGGGGAAAGAUUUAUCGCCAUUGGAUGGGCCCGCGUCGGAUUAGCUAGUUGGUGAGGUAAUGGCUCACCAAGGCAACGAUCCGUAGCGGUUUGAGAGAAUGACCAGCCACACUGGGACUGAGACACGGCCCAGACUCCUACGGGAGGCAGCAGUGGGGAAUCUUGGACAAUGGGCGCAAGCCUGAUCCAGCCAUGCCGCGUGAGUGACGAAGGCCUUAGGGUUGUAAAGCUCUUUUGCCGGGGACGAUAAUGACGGUACCCGGAGAAUAAGUCCCGCUAACUUCGUGCCAGCAGCCGCUGUAAU
rnacentral:rRNA from 1 species